rnacentral:lncRNA from 1 species
AUUGUUCCACACACUUGCUUUUCUUGCUGAAGUGCAAACUGGAAUGAUUGAAUUGUCAGGGGGACGCAUACCUCUGUAUUUUGUAUCCAAGGAUAUUGUUCAUGCGAUGCUUGCCAAUGUGGAUAGAGAAAAAAUUGAGCCUAUGCAAUUAAAUUUGGCCUUUGAGAUGGGGAGUGCUAUACCUCUCUUAAUUGAUCCGGAAC